CCCUUAGAUGUCCUGGGCCGCACGCGCGUUACACUGAUGCAUUCAACGAGCUUAUAACCUUGGCCGAGAGGCCUGGGCAAUCUUGUUAACGUGCAUCGUGAUAGGGAUAGAUUAUUGAAAUUAUUAAUCUUGAACGAGGAAUUCCUAGUAACGCAGAUCAUCAAUCUGCAUUGAUUACGUCCCUGCCCUUUGUACACACCGCCCGUCGCACCUACCGAUUGGAUGGUCCGGUGAAGCCUCGGGAUUGUGGUUCUUGCCGCUUUAUUGUGGCGUGACCGCGAGAACUUGUCUAAACCUUAUCAUCUAGAGGAAGGUGAAGUCGUAACA
rnacentral:rRNA from 1 species